UUGAGUGUUGCGAUGAGGGGACGGAGAAGGCUACACCAGCCGGGGAUUGGUAGUCCCGGUUUAACGCCGUAGGGAGGCGCUCCAGGCAAAUCCGGAGCGUCAAUCCUGAGAGCGGAUGACGAGUCCUUCGGGACGAAGUGGUCGAUGCCCAGCUUCCAGGAAAAGCCUCUAAGCUUCAGGCACUCAACAACCGUACCCCAAACCGACACAGGUGGGCGAGGAGAGUAUCCUCAGGCGCUGGAGAGAACUCGGGUGAAGGAACUCGGCAAACUAGCACCGUAACUUCGGGAGAAGGUGCGCCCGUGGUACGUGAAGCCCCUUGCGGGUGGAGCGGACGCGGGCCGCAGUGACCAGGUGGCUGCGACUGUUUACUAAAAACACAGCACUCUGCCAACACGAAAGUGGACGUAUAGGGUGUGACGCCUGCCCGGUGCCGGAAGGUUAAUUGAUGGGGCCAGCCGCAAGGCAAAGCUCUUGAUCGAACCCCCGGUAAACGGCGGCCGUAACAAUAACGGUCCUAAGGUAGCGAAAUUCCUUGUCGGGUAAGUUCCGACCUGCACGAAUGGCGUAACGAUAGCCACACUGUCUCCACCCGAGACUCCGUGAAAUUGAAAUCGCUGUUAAGAUGCAGCGUACCCGCGGCAAGACGGAAAGACCCCGUGAACCUUUACUACAGCUUUGCACUGGAUUUUGAGCGUUCUUGUGUAGGAUAGGUGGGAGGCUUUGAAGCCCCGACGCCAGUCGGAGUGGAGCCAACCUUGAAAUACCACCCUGGAACGCUCGGGAUUCUAACCUCGGACCCUUAUCGGGUUCAGGGACCGUGCAUGGUGGGUAGUUUGACUGGGGCGGUCUCCUCCCAAAGCGUAACGGAGGAGCGCGAAGGUACCCUCAGCGCGGUCGGAAAUCGCGCAGUGCGUGCAAAGGCAAAAGGGUGCUUGACUGCGAGACGGACAGGUCGAGCAGGUGCGAAAGCAGGUCUUAGUGAUCCGGUGGUUCCUGAUGGAAGGGCCAUCGCUCAACGGAUAAAAGGUACUCCGGGGAUAACAGGCUGAUACCGCCCAAGAGUCCAUAUCGACGGCGGUGUUUGGCACCUCGAUGUCGGCUCAUCACAUCCUGGGGCUGUAGUCGGUCCCAAGGGUAUGGCUGUUCGCCAUUUAAAGUGGUACGCGAGCUGGGUUUAGAACGUCGUGAGACAGUUCGGUCCCUAUCUGCCGUGGGCGUUGGAGUGUUGCGGGGAGCUGUUCCUAGUACGAGAGGACCGGAAUGGACAGACCUCUGGUGUACCGGUUGUUCUGCCAAGAGCACCGCCGGGUAGCCACGUCCGGACGGGAUAACCGCUGAAAGCAUCUAAGCGGGAAGCCCCCCCAAGAUGAGCACUCCCGAGUCCUUGAGACUCCUAAAGGUCCGUGGAAGACCACCACGUGGAUAGGCGUGGCGGUGAACGCGCGGUAACGCGUGCAGCCGACCCGUACUAAUCAACCGUGCGGCUUGAUCCG
rnacentral:rRNA from 1 species